GAUGAACGCUAGCUACAGGCUUAACACAUGCAAGUCGAGGGGCAUCAGGAAGAAAGCUUGCUUUCUUUGCUGGCGACCGGCGCACGGGUGAGUAACACGUAUCCAACCUGCCCUUUACUCGGGGAUAGCCUUUCGAAAGAAAGAUUAAUACCCGAUAGCAUAAUGAUUCCGCAUGGUUUCAUUAUUAAAGGAUUCCGGUAAAGGAUGGGGAUGCGUUCCAUUAGGUUGUUGGUGAGGUAACGGCCCACCAAGGCAAUGAUGGGUAGCCGGCCUGAGAGGGUGAACGGCCACAAGGGGACUGAGACACGGCCCUU
rnacentral:rRNA from 1 species